rnacentral:lncRNA from 1 species
UUGUUUAUAAAUCAAAUCUCCGUCACAAUUUUCAAAACCCCACUAAGCUAUAAUCCACCACCACUUUAGCAACAUGGUGGUUGUUCCUACUUCCUAAAUCAAUAUCCAUCACAAAUAUCCACAAGAACCCCACGUUAUAACCACACACAUCAAAUCUCUAUCACAAAUUUUCAAUUUCUUUUAGGCUACAAAUUAUUUUUGCAAAAAAGAAAAUAAAAAAUUAAUCGUCGGUAACCCUUACUGUUUCAACUCAACGACGACUGAGAGCGGUGACUUCAAUCAGAUUCACGUCGCUGAAAAGAAGAUUUGAAACAAGUCGUCGGAGAGUAGAUCUAAAACCUGAGACUUUUCGUUUUUGUCGGCUACGAACCUGCGACUUCAAUAGGAUUCGCUGGAAAGCAGAUCUGAAACACACGGACGACAACAUAACCCCUACACAGUGUUUUGGUGACAGUGGUGACAGUGGUGACAUGUGUGGUGGUGGUUGGCGGUGGCGGCAAAUAAUUGGUGAGAGUGGUCAAGUGUAACACUCAAAAACUUAAUUAUGUACACUUUUAUUUAAAUGUGUUUAUGUCAUAUAAAAAGAAAUUUGAGUAUGAAUAUUGUUAAAAAUACUAUAUAUGGUAACUAGGAGAAUGAACCUAGUUAGAAUGCAAGCUAGAACUUUAAAUUAAGAAUAGUUUUCCGUCAUUAUAAAUAAAUGAUUAAACUUAAAGGGCCAAACUUGUA